CUUUUUUACAUAGAUUACUAGAUUCUGACCCGCACGUUCGUGCGAGAUUUCAUAUUUUAAGAAAUGUGUUGUAUAAAAUUUAU
rnacentral:sRNA from 1 species